rnacentral:rRNA from 1 species
GAUGAACGCUGGCGGCGUGCCUAAUACAUGCAAGUCGAGCGAACAGACGAGGAGCUUGCUCCUUCGACGUUAGCGGCGGACGGGUGAGUAACACGUAGGUAACCUACCUAUAAGACUGGGAUAACUUCGGGAAACCGGAGCUAAUACCGGAUAAUAUUUCGAACCGCAUGGUUCGAUAGUGAAAGAUGGCUUUGCUAUCACUUAUAGAUGGACCUGCGCCGUAUUAGCUAGUUGGUAAGGUAACGGCUUACCAAGGCAACGAUACGUAGCCGACCUGAGAGGGUGGUCGGCCACACGGGAACUGAACCGCGGUCCAGACGCCUAAGGGAGGCAGCAGUAGGGAAUCUGCGGCAAUGGGCGAAAGCCUGACGGAGCAACGCCGCGUGAGUGAUGAAGGUCUUCGGAUCGUAAAACUCUGUUAUUAGGGAAGAACAAACGUGUAAGUAACUGUGGACGUCGUGACGGUACCUAAUCAGAAAGCCACGGCUAACUACGUG